GUUUGGAGAAAUUUAAACAUAAAUAAAAAGCAAUUUACAUGGAGAAGAAAGGAUAAAUCACAAGCUAGUAGACUAGACAUGAUUUUUAUUGGGUCAGAAUUUUUACCUCUUAUAGAAUGGUGUAAAAUUAAACCGGCUGUUGCUAUACAGUCCACUGAUCACCAAAGUGUAUUUUUAAAAUUUAAGCCAGGGUUAUCAGAAAGGG
rnacentral:lncRNA from 1 species